GAUGAACGCUGACAGAAUGCUUAACACAUGCAAGUCAACUUGAACUUCGGUUUGGGUGGCGGACGGGUGAGUAACGCGUAAAGAACUUGCCUCACAGUUAGGGACAACAUUUGGAAACGAAUGCUAAUACCUGAUAUUAUGAUUUUAGGGCAUCCUAGAAUUAUGAAAGCUAUAUGCGCUGUGAGAGAGCUUUGCGUCCCAUUAGCUAGUUGGAGAGGUAACGGCUCACCAAGGCGAUGAUGGGUAGCCGGCCUGAGAGGGUGAACGGCCACAAGGGGACUGAGACACGGCCCUUACUCCUACGGGAGGCAGCAGUGGGGAAUAUUGGACAAUGGACCAAGAGUCUGAUCCAGCAAAUCUGUGUGCACGAUGAAGUUUUUCGGAAUGUAAAGUGCUUUCAGUUGGGAAGAAAAAAAUGACGAUACCAACAGAAGAAGUGACGGCUAAAUACGUG
rnacentral:rRNA from 1 species